rnacentral:rRNA from 1 species
UACGAAGGGGGCUAGCGUUGCUCGGAAUCACUGGGCGUAAAGCGCACGUAGGCGGGUUGUUAAGUCGGGGGUGAAAUCCUGGAGCUCAACUCCAGAACUGCCUUCGAUACUGGCGACCUUGAGUCCGGGAGAGGUGAGUGGAACUCCGAGUGUAGAGGUGAAAUUCGUAGAUAUUCGGAAGAACACCAGUGGCGAAGGCGGCUCUCUGGAACGGUACUGACGCUGAGACGCGAAAGCGUGGGGAGCGAACAGG